AUGUGGAGCAUGGAUCUUUGGUCUUCUUUGCAGAAAGAGUAUUUGUGGUUUCCUCUUCCCCGGGACUUCCGAAUGCUUGUGUGGAGGGAACAAAUAACUGUGAAGUUACCAGGUAUGUGCAUUACAUGGCAAGCUCUGAAAAGGUGGGCACCUGGACAUUUUUGGUGGAGGUUUUAAACAGCACUUUUGAAAGGGGCUGCUGGGGGAUGGUGAGGUUGGCUCUGACAGUGGCACAAAAGUUGCUCAUCAUUUAAAUAAAGUUAAUUAAGAUUGAGGCCUACGAGGUGCCUGGGGCUAAGGAAUAAAUAGGCUAGGUUGCUUACAAGUUCAGCUACUGUACAGUAACGUGUAUGAAGCGCACACCGGAGUCUCCAUGGUGGAUCAGAUUGGAGCUGUGGUAGCAAAGAGCUGCCAAGGCCCAGCAGGGA
rnacentral:lncRNA from 1 species